AUUGAACGCUGGCGGCAGGCCUAACACAUGCAAGUCGAGCGAGCGGCGGACGGGCGAGUAAGGUAUGGGCAUGUGCCUGACAGAGGGGGAUAAGUACCGGAAACGGUGGCUAAUACCGCAUAAUAUCGGAUGAACCCACAUGGGAUUAGGGAGUAGGUGGGGUAAAGGCUGACCUAGGCGACGAUCACUAGCUGGUCUGAGAGGAUGAUCAGCCACACUGGGACUGAGACACGGCCCAGACUCCUACGGGAGGCAGCAGUGGGGAAUAUUGGACAAUGGGCGAAAGCCUGAUACAGCCAUGCCGCGUGUGUGAAGAAGGCCUUAGGAUUGUAAAGUACUUUCAGUAGGGAGGCGUUACCCACCGAGUAAGCACCGGCUAACUCCGUGCCAGCAGCCGCGGUAAUAC
rnacentral:rRNA from 1 species